GACGAAGGGGGCUAGCGUUGUUCGGAAUUACUGGGCGUAAAGGGCUCGUAGGCGGCCAACUAAGUCAGACGUGAAAUCCCUCGGCUUAACCGGGGAACUGCGUCUGAUACUGGAUGGCUUGAGUGUGGGAGAGGGAUGCGGAAUUCCAGGUGUAGCGGUGAAAUGCGUAGAUAUCUGGAGGAACACCGGUGGCGAAGGCGGCAUCCUGGACCGACACUGACGCUGAAAAGCGAAAGCCAGGGGAGCAAACGGG
rnacentral:rRNA from 1 species